AAACAUAAGAAUGAAAAAAAA
rnacentral:sRNA from 1 species